UACGUAGGGCGCAAGCGUUGUCCGGAAUUAUUGGGCGUAAAGAGCUCGUAGGCGGCCUGUUACGUCUGCUGUGAAAUCCCGGGGCUUAACCCCGGGCGUGCAGUGGAUACGGGCAGGCUGGAGGCAGGCAGGGGAGAACGGAAUCCCCGGUGUAGCGGUGAAAUGCGCAGAUAUCGGGAGGAACACCGGUGGCGAAGGCGGUUCUCUGGGCCUGUACUGACGCUGAGGAGCGAAAGCGUGGGGAGCGAACAGG
rnacentral:rRNA from 1 species